CUCACCAAGGCGACGAUCCGUAACUGGUCUGANAGGAUGAUCAGUCACACUUGGAACUGAGACACGGUCCAGACUCCUACGGGAGGCAGCAUGGGGAAUAUUGGACAAUGGGCGAAAGCCUGAUCCAGCCAUGCCGCGUGUGUGAAGAAGGUCUUCGGAUUGUAAAGUCACUUUAAGUUGGGAGGAAGGGUAGUAACCUAAUACGUUGCUACGUUUGACGUUACCGACAGAAUAAGCACCGGCUAACUUCGUG
rnacentral:rRNA from 1 species